UGGGUGAUUCUGUAACGGUUUUCUAGGUUCCUGCCUGUUGACACGCUGCUUGGUCCGUUGGUGAUGGGUGAUUCUGUAACGGUUUUCUAGGUUCCUGCCUGUUGACACGCUGCUUGGUCCGUUGGUGAUGGGUGAUUCUGUAACGGUUUUCUAGGUUCCUGCCUGUUGACACGCUGCUUGGUCCGUUGGUGAUGGGUGAUUCUGUAACGGUUUUCUAGGUUCCUGCCUGUUGACACGCUGCUUGGUCCGUUGGUGAUGGGUGAUUCUGUAACGGUUUUCUAGGUUCCUGCCUGUUGACACGCUGCUUGGUCCGUUGGUGAUGGGUGAUUCUGUAACGGUUUUCUAGGUUCCUGCCUGUUGACACGCUGCUUGGUCCGUUGGUGAUGGGUGAUUCUGUAACGGUUUUCUAGGUUCCUGCCUGUUGACACGCUGCUUGGUCCGUUGGUGAUGGGUGAUUCUGUAACGGUUUUCUAGGUUCCUGCCUGUUGACACGCUGCUUGGUCCGUUGGUGAUGGGUG